UCAUAACUUAUGAUGGAGCACAGUAAUUAAGCAUAAAGCAUGAAAAGAGAAGAAAUGCCCUGGGCUGAAAGCAUUUCUGCAUGACACUUAAUGAAGGAACACUCCGUAGGUUUCUCUCUGAAAAAGGUAAACUCUAGUAGGAGAAGAACGUUAACAGGCGUUAACUGUAAGAGCGGAAGAGUCUAAUAAUUGGGCUUUUCAACUAGGGUGGCACCACGGGAACUACAACUCUCGUCCCUUGU
rnacentral:ncRNA from 1 species